rnacentral:rRNA from 1 species
GAUGAACGCUGGCGGCGUGCCUAAUACAUGCAAGUCGAGCGAACGGACGAGAAGCUUGCUUCUCUGAUGUUAGCGGCGGACGGGUGAGUAACACGUGGGUAACCUACCUAUAAGACUGGGAUAACUUCGGGAAACCGGAGCUAAUACCGGAUGAUAUUUUGAACCGCAUGGUUCAAAAGUGAAAGACGGUCUUGCUGUCCCUUAUAGAUGGAUCCGCGCUGCAUUAGCUAGUUGGUAAGGUAACGGCUUACCAAGGCAACGAUGCAUAGCCGACCUGAGAGGGUGAUCAGCCACACUGGAACUGAGACACGGUCCAGACUCCUACGGGAGGCAGCAGUAGGGAAUCUUCCACAAUGGGCGAAAGCCUGACGGAGCAACGCCGCGUGAGUGAUGAAGGUCUUCGGAUCGUAAAGCUCUGUUAUUAGGGAAGAACAGAUGUGUAAGUAACUGUGCACAUCUUGACGGUACCUAAUCAGAAAGCCCCGGCUAACUACGUG